CCGGCGACGGGUGAGUAACGCGUAUGCAACUUGCCUAUCAGAGGGGGAUAACCCGGCGAAAGUCGGACUAAUACCGCAUGAAGCAGGGGCCCGCAUGGGGAUAUUUGCUAAAGAUUCAUCGCUGAUAGAUAGGCAUGCGUUCCAUUAGGCAGUUGGCGGGGUAACGGCCCACCAAACCGACGAUGGAUAGGGGUUCUGAGAGGAAGGUCCCCCACAUUGGACUGAGACACGGCCAA
rnacentral:rRNA from 1 species